rnacentral:rRNA from 1 species
UACGAAGGGGGCUAGCGUUGCUCGGAAUCACUGGGCGUAAAGGGUGCGUAGGCGGGUUUUUAAGUCAGAGGUGAAAUCCCGGGGCUCAACCCCGGAACUGCCUUUGAUACUGGCGAUCUAGAGGUCGAGAGAGGUGAGUGGAAUUCCGAGUGUAGAGGUGAAAUUCGUAGAUAUUCGGAAGAACACCAGUGGCGAAGGCGGCUCACUGGCUCGAUACUGACGCUGAGGUGCGAAAGCGUGGGGAGCGAACGGG